rnacentral:tRNA from 1 species
CCUGGACCGGCCGGGGCGGCUCAACGCCGUCGACCUCACCAUGGUCCGGGAACUGGCCGAGGUCUGGCGCGAGUUGCGGUUCGACGACGCCGUCCGGGCC